rnacentral:rRNA from 1 species
UACAGAGGUCCCGAGCGUUGUUCGGAUUCAUUGGGCGUAAAGGGUGCGUAGGCGGUCUGCUAAGUUUGGUGUGAAAUCCCGGGGCUCAACCCUGGAAUUGCAUUGAAUACUGGUGGACUAGAGUACUGGAGAGGAAACUGGAAUUUACGGUGUAGCAGUGAAAUGCGUAGAGAUCGUAAGGAAGACCAGUGGCGAAGGCGAGUUUCUGGACAGUAACUGACGCUGAGGCACGAAGGCCAGGGGAGCAAACGGG